rnacentral:rRNA from 1 species
GGACUACUAGGGUUUCUAAUCCUGUUUGCUCCCCACGCUUUCGCGCCUCAGCGUCAGUAUCGGUCCAGAGAGCCGCCUUCGCCACUGGUGUUCUUCCCAAUAUCUACGAAUUUCACCUCUACACUGGGAAUUCCACUCUCCUCUCCCGAUCUCUAGCCUCACAGUCCCAAAUGCUAUUCCCAGGUUGAGCCCGGGGCUUUCACAUCUGACUUGAGAGGCCGCCUGCGCGCCCUUUACGCCCAGUAAUUCCGAACAACGCUUGCCCCCUUCGUAUUACCGCGGCUGCUGGCAC